rnacentral:rRNA from 1 species
UACGUAGGGUGCAAGCGUUGUCCGGAAUUAUUGGGCGUAAAGAGCUCGUAGGCGGUCUGUCACGUCGGCUGUGAAAACCCGAGGCUCAACCUCGGGCCUGCAGUCGAUACGGGCAAACUAGAGUACUGCAGGGGAGACUGGAAUUCCUGGUGUAGCGGUGAAAUGCGCAGAUAUCAGGAGGAACACCGGUGGCGAAGGCGGGUCUCUGGGCAGUACUGACGCUGAGGAGCGAAAGCGUGGGGAGCGAACAGG